rnacentral:rRNA from 1 species
UACGUAGGUGGCAAGCGUUGUCCGGAAUUAUUGGGCGUAAAGCGCGCGCAGGUGGUCCUUUAAGUCUGAUGUGAAAGCCCACGGCUCAACCGUGGAGGGUCAUUGGAAACUGGGGGGACUUGAGUGCAGAAGAGGAUAGUGGAAUUCCAAGUGUAGCGGUGAAAUGCGUAGAGAUUUGGAGGAACACCAGUGGCGAAGGCGACUAUCUGGUCUGUAACUGACACUGAGGCGCGAAAGCGUGGGGAGCAAACAGGG